rnacentral:rRNA from 1 species
UACGAAGGGUGCAAACGUUGCUCGGGAUUAUUGGGCGUAAAGCGCACGUAGGCGGCUUUGCAAGUCCCAUGUGAAAUCCCACGGCUUAACCGUGGAAGUGCAUGGGAAACUGCAGAGCUUGAGUACUUAAGAGGAUCGCGGAAUUCCCGGUGUAGAGGUGAAAUUCGUAGAUAUCGGGAGGAACACCAGUGGCGAAGGCGGCGAUCUGGGAAGAUACUGACGCUGAGGUGCGAAAGCGUGGGGAGCAAACAGG